rnacentral:rRNA from 1 species
GACGAACGCUGGCGGCGUGCUAAUACAUGCAAGUAGAACGCUGAAGGAGGAGCUUGCUUCUCUGGAUGAGUUGCGAACGGGUGAGUAACGCGUAGGUAACCUGCCUGGUAGCGGGGGAUAACUAUUGGAAACGAUAGCUAAUACCGCAUAACAGUAGAUGUUGCAUGACAUUUGCUUAAAAGGUGCAAUUGCAUCACUACCAGAUGGACCUGCGUUGUAUUAGCUAGUUGGUGGGGUAACGGCUCACCAAGGCGACGAUACAUAGCCGACCUGAGAGGGUGAUCGGCCACACUGGGACUGAGACACGGCCCAGACUCCUACGGGAGGCAGCAGUAGGGAAUCUUCGGCAAUGGACGGAAGUCUGACCGAGCAACGCCGCGUGAGUGAAGAAGGUUUUCGGAUCGUAAAGCUCUGUUGUAAGAGAAGAACGAGUGUGAGAGUGGAAAGUUCACACUGUGACGGUAUCUUACCAGAAAGGGACGGCUAACUACGUGCCAGCAGCCGCGGUAAUACGUAGGUCCCGAGCGUUGUCCGGAUUUAUUGGGCGUAAAGCGAGCGCAGGCGGGUUAGAUAAGUCUGAAGUUAAAGGCUGUGGCUUAACCAUAGUACGCUUUGGAAACUGUUUAACUUGAGUGCAAGAGGGGGAGAGUGGAAUUCCAUGUGUAGCGGUGAAAUGCGUAGAUAUAUGGAGGAACACCGGUGGCGAAAGCGGCUCUCUGGCUUGUAACUGACGCUGAGGCUCGGAAAGCGUGGGGAGCAAACAGG